CCUACGGGUGGCUGCAGUGAGGAAUAUUGGUCAAUGGGCUUACGCCUGAACCAGCCAAGUCGCGUGAGGGAAGACUGCCCUAUGGGUUGUAAACCUCUUUUGUCAGGGAGCAACGCCGGCUACGUGUAGCCGGACUGAGAGUACCUGAAGAAAAAGCAUCGGCUAACUCCGUGCCAGCAGCCGCGGUAAUACGGAUGGUGCAAGCGUUAUCCGGAUUUACUGGGUGUAAAGGGAGCGCAGGCGGGACGGCAAGCCUGAUGUGAAAGCCCGCGGCCCAACCGCGGGACUGCAUUGGGAACUACCGGGCUGGAGUGCCGGAGAGGUAGGCGGAAUUCCUAGUGUAGCGGUGAAAUGCGUAGAUAUUAGGAGGAACACCAGUGGCGAAGGCGGCCUACUGGACGGUGACUGACGCUGAGGCUCGAAAGCGUGGGGAGCAAACAGGAUUAGAUACCCCAGUAGUC
rnacentral:rRNA from 1 species